rnacentral:lncRNA from 10 species
GCACGUGGUUGGCAUCUAAUGGGUAGAGACCAAGGAUGGUACCAAAUACCCUACAAUGCACAGGACAGCCCACAGUGUCACCAGUGCUGAGGCUAAGGAACUCAGCUGUAGGCACAGGGGGACUCAUUGCAUCUUGAGGGAACUCAUGGCUGUGGGCAUUGUGGCUAGGACAAGCUGAUACUGACACACUCCCUGUAACUGCUGCCCUGGCCUUAGAUCUACCUGGAGGAAGGGCCCUAAUUCCUUCUCAAGAUGGCUAUCCAAUCACAGCGAUUCCACCAAUGACAUUCACCUGUGGAGGGAGUAUGCAUGGGCCAGGGUCAGGGCUGAGGGACAAGUGCCAGGAGCACAGGACCUUAGGGAGGAGGCCAACAACUCUCAUACAAGCUGGAGGGGACCAGGGGCAGACAGAGGGCUGUGGGGAUGGGGGAAGAGAGGACUGUGUUAAAUUGUGGGUGGGGUUGGGGAAAUCCUGGGUGCCUAUGAAGCAUGUAGUGACUGAACUGGGCCUCAAAUGAUAGGAUUUCCAAAGAAGGGCACAGGAAGACAAGGGAAAGGGCCAUGAGUUCAUUUUAAGUCCAAACAAAGUCUCUCCACAAGGCCCAGCCCAUACACCCUGCUUGCCUCCUGGCUGCAUCUCACUUCUGUCUGCGCCCUGGCCACACAGGCUCCACUUGCCCUUAUGCACUCGCCAUUUCUUCACCCACCUCAGAGUCUUGCAGGCUCUGUCCUCUCAUUUUGGUGCAUCCUAUUCCACUUUUUGUUCAGUUGCUAUGGUCUGGAUGUUUUUGUGUCCCCCACAUCCAUAUGCCAAAAUUCGAACCCCCAAGGUGAUGGUCUUAGGAGGUAGGGCUAUUUGGGAGGUGAUUAGGUCAUGGACCAGUGUCCUUAUAAAAGAGGCGCCAGAGAGCUGCCUUGCCCCUUCCACCAUGUGGAGACACAGAGAGAAGGUGCCAUCUCUGAGAAAGUGGGUCCACAUCAGAUACCAAAUCUAUUGGACCCUUGGUCAUGGACUUCCCAGCUUCCAGAACUGUGAGAAAUAGAUUUCUGCUUAUAAGCUGCCCUGUCUGUAUCUCAGUCUGCUGAGGUUAUAACAGCCCAGAUGAACUACAACAUCAGUUAACACCCACUCAUGGUCUGGAUCUCAGCUCCUGGCCCUUCGUCAGGGAGCCCUCCUGGGGCUCCUCCUACCCCGUUAUGUGCUCUCAAAGGCCCACACUUCUCUCCUUCAUAACACUUACCACAGCUGAUGUUUAUUUAUGUGAUUAUGGAUUAAUGCCCAUCUCCUUCAGGGGACUGUAGGGCUGGGUGAGCCUCACCAUGGACGCUGGCACAGAGCCUACACAUGGCAGGGCUCAAGAAACAAUCAUUGAGUGGAUGAAUAAAUGAUCAAAAGUUAGCUUUGGUAGCUUAGGUGUCGGGUAUGUUCAAGGCUACAAAGGAAGCCUGGGACCUUGGCAAGAUUUUAAAUGCUAGGCUGAAGUGUUUGUAGCUAAAUAGGCAGACAGGGAGGGGCUCUGAAGAGCAGGGCAGUGCCAAGAGCACGUGAUGCCCUGGGAUGGUGGGCUGGGCAGAGGGUAGAGGACUGAGCAGAAUCUGGAGACUAAUUAGGGGACUGUUGUAAGAAUCCUGGGGUAAGAGGGCUGGGAAGCAGCAGAUGGAAAGCAGCCCUGGUUAGCUUUGUGGGGACGACUGGCACUCCUCAUUCCUCUGUGUGUUCUGAGAGUCCCUGGGAAGCCCUGAGCAGCAGCCUGGCAUGAUGCUCUGAGAUGUGGGGAGAAGGAGGUAGAGUAGAGGCUGUGAUGCUAUAGACACUUUGCAACCCAGGCAUCCCUCUGAGGUUCUCUGACCCCUUGGGCCUGUGCAGCUCAGCUUCCCACCCCCAAGGCAGAGCCAGGAGAGUCUGCUCAGAGCACUGCCAGGGAAGCAGUCCAGCUGGGCAGCGGGUGGAGGUGCACAGAGACGGAAGGCAGAUUACAUGUCACUUCAUAUUAGCCACACCGGCAACCUUCCCAAUCCACCCAGAGAGGGGCCAAUUAAUUGCAAUUCUGAGGACAAGGCAAAAGCCAAGAUAACACUGAACCUGAAGCCAAGAUAACACUGAACCUGAAGAUCGCAUCUCCUUUCCAGUCAUGAGCAGGUCGGAAGGCCUUACAGAGGGUCAGAUUUACUUACCUGUGAGGUACAUUUCCUCUCCUUCGGUGAACAUCUGGUGGCAGCGUACACACCUGGCACAGGUUGGGUGGUAGUGCUUCCCUCCUGCCUAUGGAAAUGAAAAGAUGAAACAGGAGGUCAGAGCCAGGGCUGCUGUCUAGUGGGGCAGAUUG